rnacentral:lncRNA from 1 species
CCGGUGUCUCCUCGUUUUGUGGGAAAAAAAAAACCUGAAAAUUGAAUUGAUUUUUCUGUUUGGUCCAUGAUCGUCCGCUUUAUCAAAAUUGAUGGCUUGAAAGCUAAAUGAAGAUUAAAACAUGGAGAUGAAGAAGUGCAGCAAUUCAGCAAAGCAAACGAGAGGGGGCAAAUAACGUGGACAACAAAGAAGAUGCCAUGUGGUGUGGGUCCAACUUCCAUCAUUCCGUGAGGAGGGUUCGUUUUUGGGUGGUGGGGUCCACGGAG